rnacentral:rRNA from 1 species
AGUCGAACGGCAGCGGGGAGGAGCUUGCUUCUCUGCCGGCGAGUGGCGAACGGGUGAGUAAUACAUCGGAACGUGUCGAGAAGAGGGGGAUAACCACCCGAAAGGGUGGCUAAUACCGCAUAAAUUCUGAGGAAGAAAGCUGGGGACCUAGGAAUAGGCCUAGCGCUUUUUGAGCGGCCGAUGUCGGAUUAGCUAGUUGGUGAGGUAAAGGCUCACCAAGGCGAAGAUCUGUAGCGGGUCUGAGAGGAUGAUCCGCCACACUGGGACUGAGACACGGCCCAGACUCCUACGGGAGGCAGCAGUGGGGAAUUUUGGACAAUGGGGGCAACCCUGAUCCAGCCAUGCCACGUGUAUGAAGAAGGCCUUAGGGUUGUAAAGUACUUUUGUUAGGGAAGAAAAGUCAGCUGUGAAUAAUGGCUGAUACUGACGGUACCUAAAGAAUAAGCACCGGCUAACUACGUGCCAGCAGCCGCGGUAAUACGUAGGGUGCGAGCGUUAAUCGGAAUUAUUGGGCGUAAAGCGAGUGUAGACGGUUAUUUAAGCCAGAUGUGAAAUACCCGAGCCUAACUUGGGAGGUGCAUAUGGAACUGGGUAGCUAGAGUGUGUCAGAGGGAGGUAGAACUCCACGUGUAGCAGUGAAAUGCGUAGAGAUGUGGAAGAAUACCGAUGGCGAAGGCA